rnacentral:rRNA from 1 species
UGGGGGUUAUUGCACAAUGGGCGAAAGCCUGAUGCAGCGACGCCGCGUGGGGGAUGAAGGCCUUCGGGUUGUAAACUUCUUUUGCUCUGAACAAGGCAUGCUAAUGGGUGUGUUGAGUGUAGGGGUUGAUUAGCGCCGGCUAACUACGUGCCAGCAGCCGCGGUAAUACGUCGGGCGCGAGCGUUGUCCGGAAUUAUUGGGCGUAAAGGGCUUGUAGGUGGCUGGUUGCGUCUGUCGUGAAAGCUAAUGGCUUAACUGUGGGUUUGCGGUGGGUGCGGGCUGGCUUGAGUGCAGUAGGGGAGGCUGGAAUUCCUGGUGUAGCGGUGGAAUGCGCAGAUAUCAGGAGGAAUACCGGUGGCGAAGGCGGGUCUCUGGGCUGUUACUGACACUGAGGAGCGAAAGCAUGGGGAGCGAACAGG